rnacentral:rRNA from 1 species
AGCGAACGCUGGCGGCAGGCUUAACACAUGCAAGUCGAGCGGGCCCUUCGGGGUCAGCGGCGGACGGGUGAGUAACGCGUGGGAACGUGCCUUCUGGUUCGGAAUAACCCUGGGAAACUAGGGCUAAUACCGGAUACGCCCUUUUGGGGAAAGGUUUACUGCCGGAAGAUCGGCCCGCGUCUGAUUAGCUCGUUGGUGGGGUAACGGCCUACCAAGGCGACGAUCAGUAGCUGGUCUGAGAGGAUGAUCAGCCACACUGGGACUGAGACACGGCCCAGACUCCUACGGGAGGCAGCAGUGGGGAAUAUUGGACAAUGGGCGCAAGCCUGAUCCAGCCAUGCCGCGUGAGUGAUGAAGGCCUUAGGGUUGUAAAGCUCUUUUAUCCGGGACGAUAAUGACGGUACCGGAGGAAUAAGCCCCGGCUAACUUCGUGCCAGCCGCCGCAGUAA